UUCUUCCUCUGUAUCAUAAACACAAAACAAGUGUUUAAACGUCUGCCUCAAAGGCAAUCUGGGAAGCAGAGCGACUCUUACAUAAAGACCAGAUGAAGCCCACGCUCGCCAGAAGGGCCAUCUGGAUGCUGGCUCUGCCACCCUUCCUUCUCGCCCUCCGCUUGGGAACCGCUGUGAGCACGUAAUUAAGGACUGUGAUGAGGAGCUGGAGAGAGCAGCCUGGUGGGGAGCCUCGUGCAGGUUAACUGCCCAGUUGCCCUGGCCUUGGGUGGCCACUGCUGCAAGCCAGGCUCCCCCUCCCUUCCCUUCCACCUCCCAGCGCCACGGUCCUCCCCCACUGGGGUCCUGGCAGCAGAGGAGGAGCCCUGCUGGCAAAGAAGCUGCAGGAGAGUGGGGCCACCGCACAGAGACGGUGACUCCCCCAGACACUGGGGACACACAGCCUGGGUGUGGAUCUCAGCACCACUACUUCCCGCCUUUAACUGAGUAGCCCUCGGAUCACGGCGUAUGGCCAUUUAUACAGACGUCCGUCCGUCCUAGAACAGAGCCUGGCAAACGAUUUUGUUACUUUUGGCCGAAGAAUAUUCAGAGACAUGUGAUAGCCAGAGUCAGUUACAAACUUGAACUGAAUUUCUCUGCAUAAAAAUGUAUGGCCUGCAAAGGUCAUCUUACAAAUGGGAUGACAGGCGCAGCGCAGCGACCGCCACGUCAGCGUGAUGGCUGUGCCAAGGUGUCACGUGAGCCCAAGAACCCAGAAAACCAAAUCAUAAGAGCUGGUGCUUCAUUCAAGGACCGCUUUACAACGGAUGCUUCUCUAAGUACUUUAAGAGUCAAUUACUGGGGCACCUGGGUGGCUCAGUGGGUGAGCAUCUGCCUUCGGCUCAGGGCAUGAUCCUGGGGUCCUGGGAUCGAGUCCUGCAUUGGGCUCCCCGCAGGGAGCCUGCUUCUCCCUCUGCCUGUGUCUCUGCCUCUCUGUGUGUCUCUCAGGAAUAAAUAAAUAAAAUCUUGAAAGAAAAAAAAAAAGAGACGAUGACAAGUGGAUCCUCCCAACAACUCUGAGGAAGGCGCUCAUUCCCAUCCCAAAUGCCAGUGCAGAAAUGACUCUCAGCAUGACAAACAACAUGUGGACCGAAGACCAAACCAGAGCAUGUGUGGAAUCGUGUGAAGUAAGCUGGUGUGUUCUUUGACACUCAGAACAGUUGCUCUUACUUAAGAACAACGCUGCUUCCCAAAGUUGCCUCCAAGGAAAACAUGGUAGUGAACAAGGACAAUCCUGAGAAAGGGAGUGAGUACCUGGCAAAGGCUCUACUGAUGGAAGCCUACCUUCCUCAGGAACUGGGUGCAGCCGAGAAUACUAGAGCUCUAAUUUCAGUUGUUUAAACCACAUGGGGCUGACAUGACACCUCCAUGAGGUCUUCAGAGACUCAAGAACCUUGGGUUUUUCUGCUCUGCCAUCCUCGGUGUGUGGCUUAUACCCUCAGGGUCAAAUCAUGGCCCUGGAUGGCAGCUGGAGAUCCAGUCAUCACAACUAUGUUCCAAGCAAGAAGGAGAAGGAAGAAGGAAAAGACAAGAAGGCUGUUCUCUUCCUAAGGAUACUUCUGAGCAGUUCCACUCAAAAAACAAAUGUUUUGGGGGAGCUUGGGUGGCUCAGUGGUUUAGCACUGCCUUUAGACCAGGGCCUGAUCCUGGGACCUGGGAUCGAGUUCCACAUUGGGCUCCCUGCACAGAGCCUGCU